rnacentral:lncRNA from 1 species
GAGAACUUUGACUAUAGGGAACUUCAGCAUGUUGUUUUCUGACUGAUAUUUCUUGCUGCUUCUAGUUGGCAAAAUGCCCUGUGGAGGUUCUGCUGUGAAUCAAGAAGCUCUAGAAAUAGUGGUAGCUGGAAAUGGGGAUACGCAUCAUUAGUUUGCUUUAAACCAGUACUCUCUCUAAUAUUUAAUUCUUUUUUUUAUCCCCAGAUAAUAUACAGGAAUUCAAGGAGGGGAUUGUCCUCAGUCCUCCAUCAGAGAAGAGGAUGGACCAAAAAUAUUUUUUGGCAGACAAAGGAGCUGCAGUUACCUGGGGAGAAUAAGAACAGAAAAAGACAUUUGAACACAGAUGUCAAGGAUGCAGAAGAAUCUCUGUUUUAUAGACGGGGAAAAUGAAGCACAGAGGGAUUACAGAGACAGAUGUUACACGGUUGGUACAACUCUACUCACUUUAUGGAAAAAAUAAUCCCU